UUCCACCCAGAAUGCCACAGUUGAUAGGACAACUACAGUGGUCCACCUGAACCAACAGGAGAGGAUUAUCAGCGAGUCCCAGAUGUUAAUCAUGGUGCAGAUGAUUAAUGACAUAGAUGAAUUGAAAGAGUUGUUAAGGGUUGCUGGGAGCAAGCUGGUGGUGGUGGAGUUCUCAGCAGCGUGGUGUGGCCCCUGUAAAAGGGUUGGCCCUAUUUUCCAGGCGAUGUCUUUAAAAUACCAAAACGUCAUGUUUGCUAAUGUGGACGUGGACUCCUCUAAG